UACGUAGGGACCGAGCGUUGUCCGGAAUCAUUGGGCGUAAAGAGCGUGUAGGCGGCCACUUAAGUCCUGCGUGAAAUCUUGCGGCUCAACCGCAAGCGGUCGUGGGAAACUGGGUGGCUAGAGUGCGGGAGAGGAGAGUGGAAUUCCUGGUGUAGCGGUGGAAUGCGCAGAUAUCAGGAGGAACACCGGUGGCGAAGGCGGGUCUCUGGGAAACAACUGACGCUGAGGAACGAAAGCGUGGGUAGCAAACAGG
rnacentral:rRNA from 1 species